CUAUAAUGGAGAGUUUGAUCCUGGCUCAGGACGAACGCUGGCGGCGUGCCUAAUACAUGCAAGUCGAGCGGAAGUUGAAGAGCUUGCUCUUCAACUUUAGCGGCGGACGGGUGAGUAACACGUGGGCAACCUGCCCUGCAGAUCGGGAUAAC
rnacentral:rRNA from 1 species